rnacentral:rRNA from 1 species
UACGUAGGGUGCGAGCGUUGUCCGGAUUUAUUGGGCGUAAAGGGCUCGUAGGCGGCGUGUCGCGUCGGGAGUGAAAGCCCGCUGCUUAACGGCGGGUUGGCUUCCGGUACGGGCAGUCGCUGGAUGCGGCAGGGGAGACUGGAAUUCCUGGUGUAGCGGUGGAAUGCGCAGAUAUCAGGAGGAACACCGGUGGCGAAGGC